GAUGAACGCUGGCGGCGUGCCUAAUACAUGCAAGUCGAGCGAACAGAUGAGGAGCUUGCUCCUCUGACGUUAGCGGCGGACGGGUGAGUAACACGUGGAUAACCUACCUAUAAGACUGGGAUAACUGCGGGAAACCGGAGCUAAUACCGGAUAAUAUAUUGAACCGCAUGGUUCAAUAGUGAAAGACGGUUUUGCUGUCACUUAUAGAUGGAUCCGCGCCGCAUUAGCUAGUUGGUAAGGUAACGGCUUACCAAGGUAACGAUGCGUAGCCGACCUGAGAGGGUGAUCGGCCACACUGGAACUGAGACACGGUCCAGACUCCUACGGGAGGCAGCAGUAGGGAAUCUUCCGCAAUGGGCGAAAGCCUGACGGAGCAACGCCGCGUGAGUGAUGAAGGUCUUCGGAUCGUAAAACUCUGUUAUUAGGGAAGAACAAAUGUGUAAGUAACUAUGCACGUCUUGACGGUACCUAAUCAGAAAGCCACGGCUAACUACGUG
rnacentral:rRNA from 1 species